GGCCUAUUAGCUCAGUUGGUUAGAGCGUUGUGCUAAUAACGCGAAGGUCACAGGUUCGAUUCCUGUAUAGGCCA
rnacentral:tRNA from 1 species